rnacentral:rRNA from 1 species
UACAGAGGUGGCAAGCGUUGUUCGGAAUUACUGGGCGUAAAGGGCGCGUAGGCGGUCUUGCAAGUCCUGUGUGAAAUCCCUCGGCUCAACUGAGGAACUGCACAGGAAACUGCUUGGCUUGAGUUCGGGAGAGGGAAGCGGAAUUCCGGGUGUAGCGGUGAAAUGCGUAGAUAUCUGGAGGAACACCGGUGGCGAAGGCGGCAUCCUGGACCAUGACUGACGCUGAGGAGCGAAAGCCAGGGGAGCAAACGGG